rnacentral:lncRNA from 12 species
AUUGGGACCAAAGGUGGUCAUUUACCUGUUACAAGAACAAAGUCUGAAGAGGAAAUGUAGUACAGGCAGCAUGCCCUCAUCUAGGGGUUGGCCAAACAGGAAAAAGCCACAAACCUACUAGAUGACCACAGUGACCAGCCCAGAGCAUUGUGUACCAGCUGAAUAAAUUGCAGAGCCAUCUCCUCUCUUCUUCCUGAAGGGUAGAGCUCUUUCCACUGUCCUGAUGUUUUUUCCUUGUCUUUUUUUUUCCCAAAACCUUUUAAUAUACCCAAUAUGGAAUUCAGAAAACAAGUUUCCAAAGCAGCAGAGGUGGUGAGUCAUGUAACAAAACAAGAUAGUAGUAGUGAAUAUGAAUGUUGGUGCAGAUGUGUAUAUAUCUGUAAAAAGAGAGAGGUUUUCGAAGUGCCUGUGGAAGGAUAUCCACUGUGUGAAGUACAGUAUUUGAACUUGGGCUUGAUAAUUCAGACAGUGAUUGUGGAAAUAGUGAAGAGGAGUUUCUAGGAUACUUUAACCAAUAUAAGCUUAAUUGUGUGUCUCCAUGUAGGUUAACAAAAUCCUGGUCUGAUGAAAUGCAGAGGGAUUCCAGGAAUGAUUAAAAGCUUGCUGUCAUGGUUUCACUUGCCAUAUGCAAGUUGGUUGAUGUCAAGAAAAGAGAGCAGGGAACUCAGAAGCAUUUCAGGAACUUGUUUUGGAUACCAGACUAUAUGUUCACCUCCAUGUGUAUGGGUGUUCCCUGGUCUCUUGGAUGAAGCAGCCAAACCUCUUGGUGGAUCUCACAGGUUAAAGCAGGUUGAGGGCGUGUAAAUAUUGAAAGAAGACAGCUUUGUUCAAACUGUACCCAUUUACUUUAUCUUUUAACUGGGAAAUGUCACCAGGGCUCUAAA